CGCAUUCCAAACUACUACUCGGGGAGCAAUUGUGGGAGCCAAAUUCAAAUAGCCCAAUACUAUCAGGCCCAAAUUGCAAGUCGGCCCGUUGGGCCUCGUCCAUCGGGCUCAUUUGGCUGAGUUACAUAUAUCUUAAUUCUGGUUGCAGAGGCCGAAUAGUCUAUUAUAAGUCAGCAUCAAGGCUAGUUGCCAAUUCCUCUUCAUAAAGCGUGGAGAGAUCCAGAUGAGGUGCGUAAUAGGGGAUAAAACCUAAAAAGAGAAGUUCUAUAGAAGGAGAAGGAAGUCUCGAUGAUCAGGUAUGUUCAAAAAAGCUCAUUUAAGAAAAAUAGUAAUCAAUAUAUCAGAGAGAGAAAAACUAAUUAGACCGUCGAAGUGCUAAUUCCUGCACCCCCGACCGGAGUUGUUAUUGUUUCAGGUGACUAUCGAAGGACUAUUCCAGGAUCUGCUUGGAUAAAGGAGUAUUUCAAAUCCAUCACUGCACAUUUAUAUUUCAUUCACAUUUUUUUCAUAUUUUCUUUUUCUUAUUCAAAUUUAUGUUCCAAACACAACCCAAAAAAUAUAUCUCAAAUGAACAAAGUCUUUUAACAGGUAGAUAAUCUCUUGCUGAAGAAUUUCUUCAUGAGAGAGGGCAUUGGAAGUUAUGGAACUGAUUAAUGUUGGAUUUUGAGGCAUAGUGUGAAUAUUAUCUGUAGACACUAAACUUUUCACGUCUUGAUCACCUUUUUUGAUUAAUCAAGACAAAUAAACUUUUCUUAAUUAGUCAAAAUUAAGAUAGUCACAGAUGUGGGUCGUACUAAAAUUACGAGACACAAUCCAUUUUGAAAUGUGGAUCAUACCAAAAGAAAAAUAUAAACCCUUUUAGACAAAUCAAUUCAAGCCAAAGGUGUGGGGCCCGCAAAGAUAUAUUGUCAGAAUUUCGUAAAAUAAUUCAAAUUCGAAUUUCAAUACAAAUCAUUUUCAUAAAGAGACAAAUUUCUCUAUUCUUGAAAAUUAAAAUCAAAUUUUGGAGUUUCAAAAUUUACUACUGUUUUCUAUGCCUAUAAAUAGCAGCUCUCACUAUUGAGAAAAGGGACCUUUGGUUAAGAUCCUAUGAUACCUCUCAAGCAUUCUCAAGGUUCUGCCAAAAAUAUUUCUCAAAAAUCUCUCCAAAGUUUUUCAAACUCUAGCCGAGGAUUAUCAAGCACUCCAAAACUUGUGUCAAUCUUUCUAGGUUCUCUUUCAUCAAAUAAACCCUUACGUGUCUAAGCAUAAAGAAAUUGCAAGUUUGAUUUCUUCUUUCGAGAUCAUUUAUAAAGAUUGUUCGAGAUCGAGUCAUUCAAGCGCUCGACCAAUCAUCUUUUCCUCGAGCUUCUUUGUUUGAAGACUUGAAGAAAUCCAUCAAUGCAUUUGAUUCAACAAGAAGCUUCUAUUGCCAUUAGAUUGCAACCACUCUGGAGAUCGAAUAAGAGGAUCUGUUCUUUUGUAGUAACACAAGCCAUAGAGAAUUGUACCUAAUUUAUUAUAAUUAAUAAAAUCAAAUAUUUGUACAAUUCUCUAACAGAUCCAAUGGCUUGCUCUAUUACAAUUCUAUGUGGCUUGCUCUAUUACAAUUCUCUAUGGUUGCAAUCCAACGGUUUUGGGAUUUAUUUUGAUGUAGAUUUUGCAUUUUACAAAAUACAUCUGUGAGAAUAUUUGUGGUUCAUAACUGUUUUUUUGGCAACAUCAUAAUUUGUUGUUUGUAGUUCUUGUUAGAUUGUUUGCCCCUUUAAGGUCUUGUUGUUUUUAUUUUAUUGUUCCAUAUGUUGUUUAUUUUUAUUUUAUUAUGACUGUUUUAUAACUUUUCUGAAAAAAAAAAAAAACUCUGUUCAGUCUCUUUGUUUCUGCAUACAACACACAAAUUCUACCAAAGACAGGUUGAUAGAAUGGAAGGUGGUUGAUAAUCUGUCAUGUGUUUUGCGCAGUAAUGGCUUCUUUACCUUUGCACGAAGAAAUUGAUUGGGCAAUGCGACACAGAAAAGGUAAUACUUUUUGUCAAGCUUUCCAUAAGCUGCCUCAAUUUGUCAUCCAUGAGGAGAGGAAUGCAAGGAUUUACACAAACAAACAACUUCUUCCUGCAAGAGUUUUUGCGAAGAUCGGGGAAGAUGUUCGAUAUAAAAUAAGCUCCUGGAGGGCUGUGAAGAAUUCUCUUGAACUGGAAUAUACCUAGAUCUAUUCUUAGCUGAUAGGUGUUUUUUGGACUGGUCUGACCAGUUUUUUGUUGUAUGUGUUUUUAUUUGUUCAAUAAAAUUCACUUUACCCAAAAAAAAUACACAAAUUCCUCAUCUGUAGAGCGAGAAAGUAGAGAGACAUCAUCUGUAGAGAUAGGGGACGGAAGUCAGGGGCUGCUCGUGGAGGACGGGCGGCUCUCUGAUCGUAUUAGCAAUUGUCUUCUUCGGUAAAUACGUCUCUCUUUCUUUCUCUCUGCUUACAGAUCUAGUUCAUAUUUCUACAAGAAGAUAGAUUUGGAUAAUUUGUGAUUGUUGUUUAGUUGAUUGGCAAAUCUGACCCUGAAUAUCAGUGGUAGAUUUAUGUUAAUCUCUUUCACAGCUCUUACAUCAAUUCGUCCAUGAAUUUAUGGCUUUGCAUAGUAAUAGAUCUGAAGAGAAUUGACAA